rnacentral:rRNA from 1 species
GGCGGCGUGCCUAAUACAUGCAAGUAGAACGCUAAGGAGGAGCUUGCUUCUCUGGAUGAGUUGCGAACGGGUGAGUAACGCGUAGGUAACCUGCCUGGUAGCGGGGGAUAACUAUUGGAAACGAUAGCUAAUACCGCAUAAGAGUAGAUGUUGCAUGACAUUUGCUUAAAAGGUGCAAUUGCAUCACUACCAGAUGGACCUGCGUUGUAUUAGCUAGUUGGUGGGGUAACGGCUCACCAAGGCGACGAUACAUAGCCGACCCGAGAGGGUGAUCGGCCACACUGGGACUGAGACACGGCCCAGACUCCUACGGGAGGCAGCAGUAGGGAAUCUUCGGCAAUGGACGGAAGUCUGACCGAGCAACGCCGCGUGAGUGAAGAAGGUUUUCGGAUCGUAAAGCUCUGUUGUAAGAGAAGAACGAGUGUGAGAGUGGAAAGUUCACACU